rnacentral:rRNA from 1 species
UACAGAGGGUGCAAGCGUUAAUCGGAAUUACUGGGCGUAAAGGGUGCGUAGGCGGGUCUUUAAGUCAGGGGUGAAAUCCUGGAGCUCAACUCCAGAACUGCCUUUGAUACUGAGGAUCUUGAGUCCGGGAGAGGUGAGUGGAACUGCGAGUGUAGAGGUGAAAUUCGUAGAUAUUCGCAAGAACACCAGUGGCGAAGGCGGCUCACUGGCCCGGUACUGACGCUGAGGCACGAAAGCGUGGGGAGCAAACAGGG